rnacentral:lncRNA from 10 species
GUAGGUCCCUGGAAGAGGGACACGGUGGGCAUUGCCUGGGGUUGGGAAGCCUCCGUCUCUGCAGGUCACUCGCACCUGGGAGUAUGGCCACGGUCAGCCCCAGAGUCCGGAAGGAAAGCAGGGCCCGGGAGGCCUCAGGACCAGAAACAAACAGAGAAGAUGCCAGAGGCAUCCACAAGGCAAAGUCAGCAAAACAGGGGAUAAAGGAGCUGUUUCAGAGGAAGAAAAGUCCCGGUCCCUGCAGGAGGGGCCAACUCCCAGCCUCAUGCUGCUGCCACAGGGGGCCUGUGGGGCUGGUUCCAGCUGGGGAAGCACAGGGAGACGUCCACCCAGGAAACUGCUCCAAAGCCAGGACAAGUGUGACUGGAGUUGGGAAGAGCAGAGACGAUGGCUCAGCAGUGAACAGCCAGGGGCAGCCCAGGAGGCGAAGCUGGCCCUGCUCACCCUGUCCACAUCCUGAUGCAAGAAGAACAUGGCGUGGAGCUCCGUAAUGAGGCAGCAUCCACUGCACAAACAAGCCCAGAAAAAGGGAGACACACAGGUGACCCAGAGUGGAGUCAGGAAGCCCCGAGAAAGGACGCGGGCUGUGGCUGCUGCAGAACUUGGAGCUCCAAAAUAACAAAGGAAAUGACCUAUGCACAGCCACGAGGAGAGAGAGACGGGGUCCCAGCAUUGCUGGGAGAGGCCAUGAUGCUCAGUGGGCACCCACCAUGAGAUGCCCGGGUCCUGAGCCAGGAGGCGGAGCCACUCCCCACGCACUCUGUCCUGACUUUGGUGACAGGAGCAGCCACCGAAUGCCAUCAUCUGCCAAGGAAAUGAAUUAUUAGCUAAUACUUCCAAAGAACGAACCUGUCAAAGUUCCAUGUUUCCAACUGAACCCAUGUUCCUCCACUAAUACUUGGAUUUUCUUCCACCACGGCCGUUCCUGAGACAGCAAGACCAGUUCCUCCUCCUUCUGCUCCUCCUCAGCCCACUUGACGUGAAGACGACGAGGAUGGAGACCUUGAUCGUGCCCCACUCCCACCUAAUGAAUAGUCUGUAGAUUUUCUCUUCCUUAGGACUUUCUUCAUAACAUUUUCCUUUCUCUAUCUUACUUUAUUAUAAAAAUACAGUAUAUAACACAGAUGCAAAUUAUGUGUUAAUUGAGUUUUUAUGUUAUCUGUAAGGCUUCCAGUCAACAGUUGGCCCUCAGGAGCUAAGUUUUGGGGGAGUCCAAAGUUGUAUGAGUAUUUUUCACUGUGUAGGGGAUCAGUGCCCAUAAACCUCAGGUUAUUUAAGGGUCUACUGUAUAAAGUAAAUAUUGGACUCAUAAUAACAAUAGCAGCUAUAACAUCUUUGUAGCACUUAGCCUUGGUACAGGUGCCUUCAAUAUGCUAACUAAUUUAACUUUUAACCAAGCCAGUUCUUUAUGUAAAAAAAACGAUUCAUCAUAAUUUAAUAUCUUAUACAUGUUCCAUUCAAUUUUCUAAAUUUGGCUAAUAUAAAAUAAGGUUUAAUAUUACCAUGAUUUGAUCAACAUUUCAAAAUUACAUAUAUUUCUCUUACAAAUUCAUUGUUAUUGACAUCAAAUUUAUAACCACGUUAUUGGCAUUGUUUAACCACACAGUAAAAUAAGUGUAAUCAGUGAAAAAAAUAGAAUAAAAUCUAUAUAGUGGAGACCUUGAAAUAUAUGUGCGAGAGUGCAAGAGUUUAUUCACUGUUGGGAUGAAAUGCUAUUUAACAGUUUUUCUUUCCCAAGGGAUGGAAUUAUGUGGGAUUCUUGUCUCCAUCUGAGAUCUAUCCCAGGGCAUCAUCUCCGGAGAAG